rnacentral:rRNA from 1 species
CGUAUCGACUACUGGGCGUAAGCGCACGCAGCGGUCUGUCAAGUCGGAUGUGAAAUCCCCGGGCUCAACCUUGGGAACUGCAUUCGAAACUGCAAGCUAGAGUCUGUAGAGGGGGGGUAGAAUUCCAGGUGUAGCGGUGAAAUGCGUAGAGAUCUGGAGGAAUACCGGUGGCGAAGGCGGCCCCCUGGACAAAGACUGACGCUCAGGUGCGAAAGCGUGGGGAGCAAACAGGAUUAGAUACCCUGGUAGUCACGCCGUAAACGAUGUCGACUUGGAGGUUGUGCCCCUGAGGCGUGGCUUCCGGAGCUAACGCGUUAAGUCGACCGCCUGGGGAGUAUGGCCGCAAGGUUAAAACUCAAAUGAAUAGACGGGGGCCCGCACAAGCGGUGGAGCAUGUGGUUUAAUUCGAUGCAACGCGAAGAACCUUACCUACUCUUGACAUCCAGAGAACUUAGCAGAGAUGCUUUGGUGCCUUCGGGAACUCUGAGACAGGUGCUGCAUGGCUGUCGUCAGCUCGUGUUGUGAAAUGUUGGGUUAAGUCCCGCAACGAGCGCAACCCUUAUCCUUUGUUGCCAGCGGUUCGGCCGGGAACUCAAAGGAGA